rnacentral:rRNA from 1 species
GACAGAGGAGCCAAGCGUUGUCCGGAUUGACUGGGCGUAAAGCGCACGCAGGCGGCCUGGCGCGUGGGGUGUGAAAGGUAGCGGCUUAACUGCUACACGCCAUCCCAUACGGCCGGGCUCGAGCCAUGCAGAGGUCCACGGAAUUGCCCGGUGUAGUGGUGAAAUGCGUAGAGAUCGGCAGGAACACCCAGGGGGAAACCAGUGGACUGG